GUGUAACUCGUCCUACAGUUACGGUUCUGCCGGCGUCCAGUGAAGAGAUUUCCAGUAAGCAGACAGCAACACUGAUGUGUGUGGUCAGCAAGGGCUUCCCUUCAGACUGGAGCUUGAGCUGGAAGGUGGAUGGGAACAUCAGGUCUCAGGAGAACAGCGCUGGACUCCUGCAGAAGGACGGUCUGUACAGCUGGAGCAGCAGUCUGACUCUCUCUGAACACGACUGGAUCAAGAGCGUCUCAGUGAGCUGUGAGGCCACACGAGGAGACCAGACAGUCACUGGACAAGUGAAGAGAGAUCAGUGUUCUCAAUAUCCAGUUAAACCAACAGUGAGUGUUCUGCUGGCGUCCAGUGAAGAGAUUUCCAGUAAGCAGACAGCAACACUGAUGUGUGUGGUCAGCAAGGGCUUCCCUUCAGACUGGAGCUUGAGCUGGAAGGUGGAUGGGAACAUCAGGUCUCAGGAGAACAGCGCUGGACUCCUGCAGAAGGACGGUCUGUACAGCUGGAGCAGCAGUCUGACUCUCUCUGAACACGACUGGAUCAAGAGCGUCUCAGUGAGCUGUGAGGCCACACGAGGAGACCAGACAGUCACUGGACAAGUGAAGAGAGAUCAGUGUUCUCAAUAGAUCCUCUGUCUUCUGCUCUCUUCUUCUCAUUCAUGUCUCACAACAGUGGCUUUCUAUUCAGAUGUGCUUCAUUCAUUCACUGAUGAGUUUCUUUUGCUAAACUAUAAUAAAAGUGAUUUACAACUUUA